UUGGCUACAGUAUGUAAAGUUAGACUUAAUCUCUAAAAUGGUGUAUGAGGACCUUUUACUCUUCCUCUAUUUUAGUGAAUGCUUGUGUUGCUUUAAUCAAGACACAAGAGGUUUAUCCAGGUUAACAGUAAGUUAGAGAGGCCAUGUAAAGUGUUCUUUAUAUGUUACUGUUAGAAAUAAUAAUUUGUAUUUGAGAUUGAUGAAUAAUAGGCAGAUCACUGGAUUUCCAGGCUGGCAUACUGUAUGGUUUUGCUAGCUUUUAAUCCAGUUUUUCGUCCUUAUUUUACAGAAUUUUUGCCUCCCAAAAAAAUUGGAGAAAUGGUGGAUUCGCAGCAAUGGGUCUACAAGCAUCCCAGAAAUCUUGAAGGAGUUCCCAAGGCUUCUAGAAAAACUUGGCAUGAUGCUAAAAGGGAGAGUGCUUUCAAAGUCCUGCCCACUCUGCUUCCCCAAUCAAUAUACAAGAACGGAGGAAAGGUCUUCAGACCCACAACCACAGAAUCCCGGAAGUCAUUCAUUUGACGUACAACCUGUGGGGACCAACAUGGUGAUGCAUUCCUGCACAUUUUGUGCCUUGGUGACGAGACAACGACAUCCCACAUCUUCGCCAUUGUUUCAGGCCAUGCCAUUGAAACGGACUUGUUGCUUGAGGCUGUUUAUCUUUUUCAAGUCCUUUUUUGUGCUUGAUGUUAGCUACACUAACAUCUUCCUUCCUGGGAAUUUCUCCAACAUGCAGUAUAUCAUAUUGAUGGACAUGAGUCUUCAUGUGCGAAGUAUUUGAGGGCAACAGUUUUUUCUGGCGACUUAUAACAUUUAAAUUUUUUGUCACAUGUAUUGUCUGUUGUAGGUCUGUUGUUUGGCUUAGUUUUAAUGGCACAAUGUUUGGACUGAUUCUCAUGUGGCAAUAAUCAAUUUCAUAGCGUUAUGAUGCUGCAAUGCUGACAAAGAAUAGGAAUCUACAGUACCUAGUUUACAAAGUUUUGUGUUUUAAAGAAACUGAUCUACA